rfam:Dermabacter sp. HFH0086 genomic scaffold acArI-supercont-complete, whole genome shotgun sequence.
UAGACGACGUGCCGCGAGGCAUCUCUUCGCUUGCGCCCCGACGCAUCUUCCCCGGUGGCGGGACGCAAGCGAGGAGAUGUCUGACGGUAUGACGUCACCCGC